AACGAACGCUGGCGGCAUGCCUAACACAUGCAAGUCGAACGAUGCUUUCGGGCAUAGUGGCGCACGGGUGCGUAACGCGUGGGAAUCUGCCCUUGGGUUCGGAAUAACAGUGAGAAAUUGCUGCUAAUACCGGAUGAUGUCUUCGGACCAAAGAUUUAUCGCCCAGGGAUGAGCCCGCGUAGGAUUAGCUAGUUGGUGGGGUAAUGGCCUACCAAGGCGACGAUCCUUAGCUGGUCUGAGAGGAUGAUCAGCCACACUGGGACUGAGACACGGCCCAGACUCCUACGGGAGGCAGCAGUGGGGAAUAUUGGACAAUGGGCGCAAGCCUGAUCCAGCAAUGCCGCGUGAGUGAUGAAGGCCUUAGGGUUGUAAAGCUCUUUUACCCGGGAUGAUAAUGACCGUACCGGGAGAAUAAGCUCCGGCUAACUCCGU
rnacentral:rRNA from 1 species